GGACUACAAGGGUAUCUAAUCCUGUUUGCUACCCACGCUUUCGUGUCUCAGCGUCAGACAUGGUCCAGUAAGCUGUCUACACCACAGGUGUUCCUCCUGAUAUCUACGCAUUUCACCGCUACACCAGGAAUUCCGCUUACCUCUCCCAUCCUCUAGCAUUCCAGUAUCCACCGCACCCUCCCAGUUAAGCCGGGAGAUUUCACAACAGACUUAGAACACCGCCUACACACUCUUUACGCCCAGUAAUUCCGAACAACGCUUGCUGCCUACGUAUUACCGCGGCGGCUGGCAC
rnacentral:rRNA from 1 species